UUGAGGCAUUAAUGAUGCUAUGCCUCCUAUAGUUAAAGGUAUAUAUGGUAGAGCUUAUAGGAGUGCUAAUAAUAAGGAUAGGCAUACUUACAAUGCAUGUAUUAUAAAAUCAACUAAUGGAUCCAUAGAGAAUCGAGGCAUACAAUCAAACCAAGAUGUGCAUGUGUAUGGAAUAUGGUGGAUGGGUGCAUUUGUGGUAUUUGUGGCUAAUUUCUAUUUCUUUGGGAAUAACUCUCUAUUGAAAUGUUUCAGGAAAGACAUGGGUUAUCUUUAUUAUUUAUUUAUUUAUUUAUUUAUUUAUUUUUUAUUCAGGGAGGCACGCAUCUAGUACCCAUUGUUUUAAUUACUAGGAUACUUGUGCAUCUUUUACUCCCCUUUUUUCUCUUUUAUAUUUUAGCAUAGCCACAUGUAUCCUUUGAAUACAAUAAAUGAUCAGAGAGGUAAGAACUUAGGGCAUUUAUGAUGGGCUUUAUCCUAUGGAUAUGGUUUAUGUUGGUGUUUACUCUCAGUGUAGAAAUAAUGCAUAUGUGAACUGAAGUGUGUACGUGAUCUUGGUUGACUACAAAGGUUGACUCACUCUAUUCCCUCUAUUCUCAUACAUGCUUUACAAAGGUUGACUAAACUCAAUGCAAAGCAAGCAACAUAAAUGUGCAAAAGUUUUCCUAACUCUAAAUGUAUAUUAUAUAUGGCUUUGGUAGGAAUUCAAACUUGUCAUACAAGAGCUCAUCAUAUAAAUUUCAGAUUUUCAAAAUAAAGCUCCAGAACUUAGUAAUGCUAGGAAUAAGAUAAAUAGCAGCUCAAACUUUCAAUGAUCAUAUCAACCAACUACCUAGACAUAGCUCAAACUUAUGCCUCCACAAGUUGCAGGUUCAGAGUAAACCUUCAAAUUAAAACAGUCAUGUCCAAAACUCGAGAUAAUCUAAUAUUAGAAUCUAGGUACUUGUAAAGAAUAGAGCAACUAUUCAUCAUCUCCAAGACAAAAUUUUAAUGUUCAUCAAUUUUUGUUUAGCUCUAGUUUAGACUGACUCUAAACAGACUCUGACACUUAACUUAUUAUAAACUCACAAAAAGACUUUAUGACUUGUGGACCUUCAUGUGCCCACAUAUUUUUUGGUAUUUUUAUGACUAUAUAGACUCAAAAUCACUUAGGUAUAAUUACCUGAUAACUAGGGGAUGCUCCUCCCCCAAGCUGGAUGGUUGCAAUACUUGGUGUAGAUGUCCUUUAGAGUGAGCUAACCAGUAGCGGACCUGGUGGGUGCCCCUGAUAGAAUCUCUCCUUGCUAUAAUGUUAUUCCUGCAUAAAUACUCUCCACAAAGAGAAAUCAAAACUCGAGGCUCGAAUUUGUUUAAUGAGUUAGCGGUCAGCCAAAAAAUAAUUGAUCUCCUUUAUGAGCUAGCUUUAUUGUUGUCUAAUUUAAACAAGAUUUCAAUUUUUUCUUAUUUUUGAAUUUUCUAUUUAUGGUGCAGGAAUUUAAAUAUGAAUGCUAUUUUUUAUGCCACCAUAGUAAAUAUUCCUAAGGGGUUACCAUAAGUUUAUUCACAUAGGGCUUGCUAUUUAUGAUGUAGUAAUUAAAGCAGUAAAUAUUUGUUUGUAUUUUGUAUUAAUAUGCUAAGAGAAAUAAAUACGCUACUAGGUGUAUUAAAGCAAAAUUACUAAUGCAUCCUAACUUCACU
rnacentral:lncRNA from 1 species